UACGUAGGCAGCGAGCGUUGUUCGGAGUUACUGGGCGUAAAGAGUGCGUAGGCGGUUUUCUAAGUUUGGUGUGAAAUCUCCCGGCUUAACUGGGAGGGUGCGCCGAAAACUGGAAGGCUUGAGUAUGGGAGAGGUAAGCGGAAUUCCUGGUGUAGCGGUGAAAUGCGUAGAUAUCAGGAGGAACACCUGCGGUGUAGACGGCUUACUGGACCAUAACUGACGCUUAGGCACGAAAGCGUGGGUAGCAAACAGG
rnacentral:rRNA from 1 species